rnacentral:rRNA from 1 species
AGAGUUUGAUCCUGGCUCAGAACGAACGCUGGCGGCAGGCUUAACACAUGCAAGUCGAGCGCUGUAGCAAUACAGAGCGGCGCACGGGUGAGUAACACGUGGGAACGUGCCCUAUGGUUCGGAAUAACUCAGGGAAACUUGAGCUAAUACCGGAUAAGCCCUAACGGGGAAAGAUUUAUCGCCAUUGGAGCGGCCCGCGUCCGAUUAGCUUGUUGGUGAGGUAAAAGCUCACCAAGGCGACGAUCGGUAGCUGGUCUGAGAGGACGACCAGCCACACUGGGACUGAGACACGGCCCAGACUCCUACGGGAGGCAGCAGUGGGGAAUCUUGGACAAUGGGGGAAACCCUGAUCCAGCCAUGCCGCGUGAGUGAUGAAGGCCCUAGGGUUGUAAAACUCUUUCGGCGGGGACGAUAAUGACGGUACCCGCAGAAGAAGCUCCGGCUAACUUCGUGCCAGCAGCCGCGGUAAUACGAAGGGGGCUAGCGUUGUUCGGAAUUACUGGGCGUAAAGCGCGCGCAGGCGGUCCUUCAAGUCAGAGGUGAAAGCCCAGAGCUCAACUCUGGAACGGCCUUUGAAACUAGAGGACUUGGGUACGGGAGAGGUGAGUGGAAUUCCGAGUGUAGAGGUGAAAUUCGUAGAUAUUCGGAAGAACCCGUGGCGAAGGCGGCUCACUGGCCCGUUACCGACNNNCAGGCGCGACAGCGUGGGGAGCAAACAGGAUUAGAUACCCUAGUAGUCC